UUCGAAGGGAUAGGGUCGGUUCGGCCGGGUUUCACACAGGUGUUGCAUGGCUGUCGUCAGCUCGUGUCGUGAGAUGUUGGGUUAAGUCCCGCAACGAGCGCAACCCUCAUCCUUAGUUACCAUCAGGUAAUGCUGGGGACUUUAAGGAAACUGCCAGUGAUAAACUGGAGGAAGGUGGGGAUGAUGUCAAGUCAUCAUGGCCCUUAUGGAGUGGGCUACACACGUGCUACAAUGGUGGCUACAAUGGGCUGCAAAGUCGCGAGGCUAAGCUAAUCCCUUAAAAGCCAUCUCAGUUCGGAUUGUACUCUGCAACUCGAGUGCAUGAAGUUGGAAUCGCUAGUAAUCGUGGAUCAGCACGCCACGGUGAAUACGUUCUCGGGUCUUGUACACACUGCCCGUCACGCCAUGGGAAUUGGUUUC
rnacentral:rRNA from 1 species